GUUUACUAGCUCUAAUACCUACAAUACAGAUAAAUUGUGAUAUAAAACAACUGGAAAGCCGUAUGACAAAAUGUAAAAUUAUCAGGCCGUAUAUUGGCCUGCACAAUUUGUGUAACAGUAAAAACAGGACCAACUUUAUAUAGAGAUCACCAUUUGUAUAACAGAGUGGCCAUAUAAAUACUGAACAAUAUUAAUUCGAUUAUGAACUGUAUCUGUUCUGGCUUUGAUACUAGAAGUGAUAACAUUGCAUUGGAAUAUGGAAACCAAAAUUGAGCACCUGAAGGCACUUAAUGUGCUGUGCUUCAAUUAAUAUAAACUAAAUGCAAAGACACAAG